GUCAGCCUGGUGUCUGCUAGGAGGUUACUGACAAGCAAACAGGAAGAGACUGAACCUUGAAGGACUGUCCAAACCAAAGGAUCCUGUCGCCCUGUUUUCCAGCUGUUUUUCAUUCCCCCUUCUGCCCCCAGAGCCUAUCAUGUAGCCACUAUUCUUCCAGAGGGCUUGCUGUCCCUGCUAAGCCAGGAAGCAACAGACUGAAAAAGGGAAAUGGAACCAGAUCUUCCACAGAACAAUGCAUGGCACCACUGAUCACCAGCCCAGAACCUUUUUCUUACAUGUUUACCCCAUUAAUAGAUACUGCAUGAGAGAAAACCGAAAACCAAUAAUUUGAAGACUUCCAUUCUGCUGCAAAGUAAAAAGACAGUGUGGUGAUGGAAAAGCAAAGUCUCAGAUUUAAAACGACAUCAUAAAUAUAAUGGUAAUGUAAUGCGGGGCAACUGUACUUGUACCAGGGGGUUGCUUCAGUUUCCUGGAAGUUGAUUCUAUCCCAAGACUAGCCAAAGGAUAGAAACACUGGCCCGUGGGACUGUUGAAUAGUGAUGGCAGACUCUCAGAACACGAGUCUGGGGCACCUCGGGCCAGAGCUGCGCCCAAAAUGCGAAAUGAUGUAUUGUGGACUCGUGUCUCAGUUAGACUUUGGGCUCGGACCCAACCCCCUUGCUGGGUCUUUGGGUGUGGGUCCUGAGGGCUUACUGGCCCAAGUCAGAUAGAUUUGUGUAUAGAUAGAUGGGGGAGUUGGGCUCAAGCCUGAGUCCAGACUUUCACUGUAGUAUAGACAUACCCUUAGUGUCCUGACACCCAUUUGUCUAGGUUGGCAUUCUGCCACAACCUCGAGACAUAGCAUAGUCUAGUGGGUUGUGCAUUGGGCUCAGAGCCAGGAACUUGAGCUCUAAGCCUGACUGACUCUGACACUAAUGGCCUUGAACAAGUCAUACAGGGCAUG